CACUAUUCCGUUUCCUACCCCCAGCUGAGGGCAUUAAAGUGUGGGGCUGGUAAUAAUUGAAGCGAGUGCACAUGAGAAUCAGCUGACUCAAUUAGACUGCUGCGGAAAUCUGAAAAUGAUGGUGAAAUUCUUUGGUCAGCCAUCAAACAACACUUUGGACUCCAAUCCCCAAGCCAAAUGUUUCUUCUGAACACCAAAACAAGUGGGAAUUCUUGAUAAAAAGAAUACUUCAUUAAUUAUUGAGUGAAAAGGAGUUUGAGGAAUGUUCUGACUUGCAUCCUGGAUCGAUUCAAACUUAUGGCACCAAGAUGUUCAGUUCUCUGGAAGAAUAAAUUAAGAUACAUUUAAGAGACCAUUGCUAGUAAGCUAAUAUGCUACUAUAUACUUAAAGUAAAGUAAAGUAAAGUAAAGAAUAACAUUGAAAAACAGUGACACAAACAAAAAGGUUUUCUUAACAA